rfam:Pteropus alecto contig28363, whole genome shotgun sequence.
GUCUACGGCCAUGCUACCCUGAACAAUCCCAAUGUCUGUUCUCGGAAGCUAAGCAGGGUUGGGCCUGGUUAUUACUUGGAUGGGAGAUGACCUAGGAAGACCAGGUGCUGUAGGCA